rnacentral:rRNA from 1 species
CGGACGGGUGAGUAACGCGUGAGAAUCUGGCUUCAGGUCUGGGACAACCACUGGAAACGGUGGCUAAUACCGGAUGUGCCCUUCGGGGUGAAAGAUUAAUUGCCUGAAGAUGAGCUCGCGUCUGAUUAGCUAGUUGGAAGUGUAAUGGACUCCCAAGGCGACGAUCAGUAGCUGGUCUGAGAGGACGAUCAGCCACACUGGGACUGAGACACGGCCCAGACUCCUACGGGAGGCAGCAGUGGGGAAUUUUCCGCAAUGGGCGAAAGCCUGACGGAGCAAUACCGCGUGAGGGAGGAAGGCUCUUGGGUCGUAAACCUCUUCUCUCAGGGAAGAACACAAUGACGGUACCUGAGGAAUAAGCAUCGGCUAACUCCGUGCCAGCAGCCGCGGUAAUACGGAGGAUGCAAGCGUUAUCCGGAAUGAUUGGGCGUAAAGCGUCCGCAGGUGGCGAAGUAAGUCUGCUGUUAAAGCGUCUAGCUCAACUAGAUAAGAGCAGUGGAAACUACUUACGCUAGAGUGCGUUCGGGGCAGAGGGAAUUCCUGGUGUAGCGGUGAAAUGCGUAGAGAUCAGGAAGAACACCAGUGGCGAAGGCGCUCUGCUAGGCCGCAACUGACACUGAGGGACGAAAGCUAGGGGAGCGAAUGGGAUUAGAUACCCCAGUAGUC